CAGCAAGAUAAGACAUUUAGACCACAAUCUGGAUCGGAUGUGUUAUAAACAAACAUAUCUUCAGUCACUGAGACAACUGAAGCAAAUCCCAUGACUGGUUUACUUUCCUUUCUUACAGAGACACAAUAUAAUUAUUGGCAUCUGAAAUAAAGGGAGUAGUCAUGAACUCCAAUAAACUAAGUAACUCUUUGUAUGUCUCCAUGCUAUAAUGCUGGAUUAUUAUAUGUACCGGUAGUGGAUUAUGGACACUUAAUUUAUAAGGAUAUGGCUCCUUGAGAGCUCGGAUUAUAAGGUUUUAUGCUUUUAGGUGAAUGGGACGUGAAUGCUAUUGCAUGUGGAUGAAGUCACCUCAUAAUGAGCCCUAACGACUAAACUGUCAUAUAACAGUACUGUGUGUGUGGAGCCGUUUGCCACCAAAACCAGCCCAAAGAAGAUCGGGGGGCGGUGCUAGAAAUGUGAAUUGCCCCAAACAUCCUUCAGUUCCAGCCACCAAAAUCAUGGCUUAUAAAAAAAAGACCACUAGGGGUCCCAUACCAUCCAUAACAUAAUGGGUGCUGCAUCAUCUUUGUCCCCAGAGGAGGGGAUUACAGAGCAGCCUGCAGUGACCCAGCACAGCGCAGCAGAGUCAGUGAGGAAGUGAAUGCUUGAUUUACUGGAACAUCCUGAGCCUCCUAUAGCCGAUCUAUAAGACUUGCUGACAAUAUUUACUUGGAAAGUAGAGGUUGUAUUUAACAGGAACUGUCACAUUAAUAAUGAAGUCCUGUCUAUCAGCAGCAUGUUAUAGAGGAGACGAACAGAUUUAUAUAGAGAUUGUGGGAAAAGACCUUGGAAAACGUAUUAUUUAUUCAUUUAAA